GAUUAAGCCAUGCAUGUCUAAGUCCAAGCUGUGCUUGUCACGGUGAGACCGCGGACGGCUCAUUAAAUCAGUCGUGGUCCAAAUGGGCCAGUACUAUGAAUACAUGGAUAACUGUGGUAAUUCCAGAGCUAAUACAUGCAACUCAUAUCCUGACGUGAGCUCGACUUGUUCUUGCUCUCUGACGGAUGCUUUUAUUAGACCAAACCGCUGAGGGUGCUCGUUGUAGCUCGCGCUACUUCGCAGUGCCUGACUCGUUCAAUGGUGACUCUGGAUAACCUGGAUUGACAAGCGCACGUACCCCUCAUUGAGUGGGACGGCGCUGCCACUUUCGAGUGUCUGCCUUAUCAGCUAUCAACCGCUCGUUAUGUGCGACCGAUGGCGUUGACGGGUAACGGAGAAUCAGGGUUCGAUUCCGGAGAGGCAGCCUGAGAGACGGCUACCACGUCCAAGGAG
rnacentral:rRNA from 1 species